rnacentral:rRNA from 1 species
GGCCUACGGGAGGCAGCAGUGGGGAAUAUUGGGCAAUGGAGGAAACUCUGACCCAGCAACGCCGCGUGAAGGAUGAAGGUUUUCGGAUUGUAAACUUCUGUCGCGAGGGAUGAAGAAUGACGGUACCUCGUAAGAAAGCCCCGGCUAACUACGUGCCAGCAGCCGCGGUAAUACGUAGGGGGCAAGCGUUAUCCGGAUUUACUGGGUGUAAAGGGAGCGUAGACGGUGCAGCAAGUCUGAUGUGAAAGGUCGGGGCCCAACCCCGGGACUGCAUUGGAAACUGUUGAACUGGAGUACAGGAGAGG